UGAAACUGGGGAGCAAGUGCAGAGA
rnacentral:piRNA from 1 species